rnacentral:lncRNA from 1 species
CUUCCCUGUUUCAUUUCAUCACCCUGUCCCCUCUCCCCUCCUCUCUCCUCCCUUGCCUCUGAUCUUUCAGUGUGGUGGCGCUCUCAUGCUGCAUCAUCGGGGAUAACACGUGCUCUCUGUUUAUUAUCAGGGAGGGAGGGAGUUGGAGAGAAAGAAGGAGGGAGGAUGAGAGGGUAGCAGAGAACCCAUAGAGUAGACAGCCUUUCUCUGUAGCACACACAGACACACAGACCAGAACAGACUGGGGGAAAGAGAGAGGGAAACAGACGCACUGCAAAAUCCAGACGCAUCAACAGCCACCCUAGCAGCUCAAACCACCACAGCAGAUGGGGCCCGGAUUGUUUUGGAACUUCUCUUCAAAGGCUAACUGCUCGGUGCCGCAGAGCCUGCUGCAGACCAUGUUGCUCUCCAGGAUGGCUGGGAUGAAGGAGCAGCAAUUUACUGAGGAGAAACCCCUACUGCAAGAACAGCGAGGACAAGACACUGAGAUGGAGAACUGUGAGACCCUGAUGCCCACUGGAGACUGGAAGGUACUGAAACUGUUUUCUACAUUUUCAAUGUACCGUACUCUCUUUCUCUCUCUAUCCUUCUCUGGUUGCUGUUAUUACUGUACAUCACAGGAGGCUGCUGAGGGGAAAACGGCUCAUAAUAAUGACCAGAACAGAGCAAAUAAAAUGGCAUCAAACACUUGGAAACCAUGUGUUUGACCUAUUUGAUACCAUUGCACAUCUUCCGCUCCUUACCACUAGCCCAUCCUCCCCAAUUAAGUUGCCACCAACCUCCUGUGCUGUACACUCACCCACGUAACCAUGGUGACUCAUUGGCAGGAGAAGAGGGAAGAAGAUGGGGAGAAGGAGAAGUGACUGUUUGGCCAUGGCACAGCCUAAUAUGAGUUGGGACCACUAGAUACUGAUGGAAUCAUUCACUAUCACACAGCAGCUCUCACACAGUGCAGAACCACAGUAGUUUUAAAGUCCUUAGAAGUUGAUUUCUGUAAUGUGAUGUUCAGAGUCUAUUUUAACAUGAAUCCACGUAGCGAUUAGAUCAGAGAUAUGACUAAUCGUCUAGACACCUCCAUUCUCCCCUCUGUCUGAUACCUCCAGUGUCACCUCCCCCCUCUCUCACCUCCCCCUCUGCCCCCCUCUUCCCCCCUCUCUCACCCUCUCAACUCAAUUCAAUUCAAAUGGCUUUAUUGGCAUGGGAAACAUAUGUUACAUUGCCAAAGCAAGUGAAAUCGAUAAUAAACAAAAGUGAAAUAAACAAUCGAAAAUGAACAGUAAACAUUACGCUCACAAAAGUUUCAAAGGAAUAAAGACAUUUCAAAUGUCAUAUUAUGGCUAUGUACAGUGUUGUAACUAUGUGGAUAUAGUUAAAGUACAAAAGGGAAAAUAAAUAAACAUGAAUAUGCGUUUGUUCUUCAAUGGUUGCCCUUUUCUUGUGGUUUGUUCUUCACCGGUUGCCGUUUUCGUGUGGUAACAGGUCACAAAUAUUGCUGCUGUGAUGGCACACUAUGGUAUUUCACCUAAUAGAUAUGGGAGUUUUUCAAAAUUAGAUUUUUUUCAAAUUCUUUGUGGGUCUGUGUAAUCUGAGGGAAAUAUGUCUCUUAUAUGGUCAUACAUUUGGCAGAAGGUUAGGAAGUGCAGCUCAGUUUCCACCUCAUUGUGUGGGCAGUGUGCACAUAGCCUGUCUUCUUUUGAGAGCCAUGUCUGCCUACAGCAAGGCUAUGCUCACUGAGUCUGGCUAUGCUCACUGAGUCUGUACAUAGUCAAAGCUUUCUUUAAUUUUGGGUCAGUCACAGUGGUCAUGUAUUCUGCCACUGUGUACUCUCUGUUUAGGGCCAAACAGCAUUCCAGUUUUUCAGUUUUUUUGGUUAAUUCUUUCCAAUGUGUCAAGGAAUUAUCUUUUAGUUUUCUUAUGAUUUGGUUGGGUGUAGAUGUGUUGCUGUCCUGGGGCUCUGUGGGGUGUGUUUGUGAACAGAGCCCCAGGACCAGCUUGCUGAGGAGAUUCUUCUCUGUAGGUGAUGUCUUAUUUCUGGAAGGUUUAGAAAUCGCUUCCUUUCAUGUGGUUGUGGAAUAUAACCGCUCUUUUCUGGAUUUUGAUAAUUAGCGGGUAUCGUCAUAAUUCUGAUCUGCAUGCAUUAUUGGGUGUUUUACAUUGUACACGUAAUAUGUUUUUGCAGAAUUCUGCAUGCAGAGUCUCAAUUUGGUGUUUGUACCAUUUUGUGAAUUCUAGGUUGGUGAGGGACCCCAGACCUCACAACCAUAAAUGGCAAUGGGUUCUAUAACUGAUUCAAGUAUUUUUAGCCAGAUCCUAAUUGGGAUGUUGAAUUAUAUGUUCCUUUUAAUGGCGUAGAGGGCCCUUCUUGCCUUGUUUCUCAGAUCGUUCACAGGUUUGUGGAAGUUACCUGUGUUGCUGAUGUUCAGGCCGAGGUAUGUAUGAUUUUUUGUGUGCUCUUUGGCAAUGGUUGUCUCGAUGGAAAUUGAAUUUGUGUUCCUGGCAACUGGACCUUUUUUGGAACACCAUUUCCUGUCAGGGCCCAAGUCUGACAUAAUCUGUGCAGAAGAUCUAGGAGCUGUUGUGUCCCCCCCCCCCCUUCUCUCUCUAUCUGUUAAAUGCUUUGCACAAAUCAGCAGGCCUCAAGUUGUAUCACACAGUGGUUGAGUGUAUGGUACCAUGUAGCUCAGUUGGUAGUGUUGUGCUUGUAACGCAAGGGUUGUGGAUUCGAUUCCCCCUGGGCACCAUUACGAAAAUGUAUGCCCAAAUGUAAGUUGCUCUGGAUAAAAGCUAAAAUGUAAAUGUUUGUAUGUGUGUUUUUCUGAGGGUAUCCUUGCAUGUGUGUGUGAUGACAGUGCAUAUGAUUAUAGGUGAGAGAAUGAGGUUGUGUAUUUAAUGAAGACUGGAAAUGUUGAGUCAGCCGGGGAGUGGGUUAAUCCCUCUCUUCCGCAGAAAAGGGGGACCGAGCUGGAGAGAGAAAGAGACAUGGAGAGUUUACAGUUGAGUCAGCUUGCUAAGUUCUCUGUACACAGGAAAGGCGGAUACCGACGAGAGAAAGAAAAAAUUGAUGUUGUGGAGAAUAUGGACAAUGGCUGCUGGUGUGAAUAAAUGUAACCUAUAGCAGAGACAGCCACUGCUGCCAUAUUGAUCUGUAGUCAGCACUGUUCCAUCAUCCCCUGCUUUCUGAGUAGAUGCACGCACAUACAGUACUCUGCUCCGCUUUACUGGUGACCUAUGGCCACUUACUGUCCCAUCAAUGUCCCAUUACACAGAGGCAUGGAGGAGCCUACUGGCUGCUGCUGCUGCUGCUGCUGCUGCUGCUGCUGCUGCUGCUGCUGCUUCUGCUGCACAGAGACAGAAAGAGACGUCACUGUUCUCUGUUUCAUUUUUAUUUGUAAAAAUAAAUCUCACUGCAUGCUAAGCAUUUGUUUAUGCAUCACCGUCCAUGACUGUUAAGGAGCGAUAAGAGGGGUGGGAAAGGAAAGGAGACAGGUAGGACAGGGUCAAUAAGAGAGAGAGGGAGAGAAAAAGAGAGGGAGAUAAGCCAUCUUCUCCUGAAACAGAGCACUGGUGCUGAUGAGAGAGCAAAACAAGAGCACAGCAGAGAACCUGCUGUGACUGACAGAGGAGCCAACCAAUCAUGUGCAGAGAGGCAGCACUGGCAGCGAAUAGGCUUGAGUUCGACACGCCCUCAUGGUGGGGUUUAUAAGGUGUCGGGGGAAGAGAGGGGGCACAGCACUGCAGCGCUCAGCCCCAGAGCAGGAACAGGCUAGACGAGACAAGACAAGACGAGACAAAGAGACCACCAGCAGCAUCCCCCAGCAGGCUCUGCUCUAAAGCCAGGACCUAGUCCCACUGCAGGAGAGGACUGGCUCUGUCUGUCUGUCUGUCUCGUCUCCACUGGCUGCUCCUCCUCCUCCUCCUGCCAUUCUUCCUCCUCUUUCUCCUCCACCACUG